rnacentral:rRNA from 1 species
UGCCAGCAGCCGCGGUAACACGGGGGGAGCAAGCGUUGUUCGGAUUCAUUGGGCGUAAAGAGCUCGUAGGCGGCUUCGUAAGUCAGGGGUGAAAGACCACGGCUCAACCGUGGAACCGCCUCUGAAACUACGAAGCUUGAGGCCGGGAGAGGAAAGUGGAAUUCCUGGAGUAGCGGUGAAAUGCGUAGAUAUCAGGAGGAACACCAGUGGCGAAGGCGGCUUUCUGGACCGAUACUGACGCUGAGACGCGAAAGCGUGGGGAGCAAACAGGAUUAGAUA